rnacentral:lncRNA from 1 species
AAAAUUCCUCAUUUUCUCUCUCUAAUCUCAAAUCCAAAUCACACACUCUCUCUCUCUUUUCAUUACUAAAUCCUUAAAACUCAAUUUCUCAUCCCUCCUCCAUGGAAAAUGAAUGAAGAUGAUGUCCAAGAAGGGAAAAUCCUCAAUGUUGAUUAUGUGCCUUCCUUAUCAAGAACACAAGAAAAGGUAUGCCUAUCUCAAAACUAGGAAUAUUGCACCCACUAAGAGAUUUUGUUGUGAUGCCCUAGCCAAACUAGGUUUGAAAGAAAAACUUAUGGAAAUUCUCACUAGGAAAGGUUGGAUGUCCUUUGUGAACAUCAGAGACGAAACCUAUAGGGAACUAACCUUAGAGUUUCUUUCUACACUUGAACUCAAAUCCAAUAAGGACAUAACCUUCCAAAUAGAGAACGAGGAGAAAACUCUAACUGCUUCCCAAUUUUCUAUAAUUUUUAUAUUACCUUUUGAGGAAGCACUUCAUGAAAGGGAGAUUAUAGAGUUUACCCCUGGUCGUGCUUGGCAAUCCCUCACCACAGGUGGGAAUUUGGAUGUCAAAACCCCAAAGCAUCCUCUCUUGUUGACCCUAGCCAUAAGUAUAUCCUUAAGUUUAUGUCUUUUUCAAUUUAUGAUAGAGGUGAGAAUAACAAUUCAGUUAGGAAAACUAAAUUAUUUUUCCUUUGGUGUAUGGAGAAUAAUAAGCAAGUAGCUUCUAGUAGAUGGCUUAUGGAUCAAUUGUAUUCAAUUGCUCAAAUAAAGGUGGGUGAGAUUGUGAUUCGGAGUCUAGUCACUAGGAUUGCUAUCUUCUUAGAAACCUUUAACCCCAAAGAGUAUGCAUUUGCUCCUCUUAAACUAGGUGAAAAUAUCUCUACUAAUCUUUCUAGUUUAAUCAACAUAGAGGUCAUCAAGGAAGUGGAUCCAAAUGAGUUUAGAUGUCUUAAUGCCAAUAUAGAGCCUACUUAGGAAGAGCGGGAUUCAGAGGAAUUUAGGCAAGGAUGUGAAGACUCUUUUUGGAAACAUCUUUAAAGCCAUGGGUUGGACGAUUCCUCUUCCUCAUAUUCCGAUUCUUGGGUAUAAAAGAUCAUCACUUAUUUUGAUGCCAAAUUGAUGCAAAAUUUGGCGAAUGUGAUGCACAUUUUCACUACUUGAAAGGGAAAUAUAACACUCUUCAAGCUGAUGUCAAAUUCAUCAAGGAUCAAUUCCUUGGUCCUUCAUAGUUUUUCAUCUUAUUUCUCUUUCUUUUCUUACAAAUUUCAAACAUUCUAUGUUUGUAGUGCUUAGUACUUUUGGAAACAAUUACUUUCUCUUUUUGUAUCCUCCUAUUGGCCUUGUGUCUUUUUGCUGGUGUCAAAAGGGGAAAAUGGUUUGUUAUUGUCUAUUUCUUUGUUAUUAGUGAAGUAUCCAUUUUAUGUUUAAUUUGUUCUUUUUUAUGAUUAAAAUGUAUUAAUUAUCAAAUGAGAAUGAAUGUCUUAUUAAGAUAUAAAUUAUGGAUUCAAUGAAUCCCAUAGUUGAUUAAUUUUUACAAAAUUAUGGGCAUAAACUCUUUUUGAAAGGGAGCAAUUUCACUCUUGUCAUCCUUUGAAAAUGAUUAUUUGUCACUAUCAAAAAGGGGGAGAAUGUGAAACCUUGAGGGUUAUUAAUCCUAUUUUGAUUAUCACAAACAAUUAAGGUUAACUAACCUUUUAUUUGAGUGUUUAUGUGUAAGGAAAGAAAUUUAUUUCUUCUAAAACAGGGCAGAUUCACGCCCGUGAAACAUCAGUUUUCCAACCGUGAAGAAAAGUUCCCAGCCAUGAAAAACUCACAACUCAAACAGUAAAGUGGGCAGUAGCAUCCACGGCUUCGUUCCCAGCUGUGAGAACGAGGAUUCAGGUGUUAGAGUAUGCCCUAAAGACAAAGAGUUGUUAGAUGAUCUCUGUUAAUUUAUACAUCACAAUUGAUGGCAUACAAUCAUACUAAAGGCAUUAUUCAACUCUAAUGGUACGAGUAGUUGGGUAUUAUUAAGGAAUAAUCCAAAUCAUAGGAGAUGAACACCAUGGAAUGUAAACACAAAUGUAAGAGAAAUUAUAGCGCGAGUUUAUAAUGAUGAGAAAAACUUGAUGGGUGCUACUCGUAUUAGCUACAAUCUAAGGCGUGUACCUAUCGAUACAGUCUAGCAUUAAUGGCGAGUAUCAAGGUCGUAUUCCUCGGGAAAGUGAAAGCCCAGAGUUACUCCUUUAUUCUUUGUUAUAUUAACCUAAAAUGAGUGAUGAAUACUUUCUAAACUAACUAAUAGCUACAAUCUAAGUUCUAAGGGAGAUGCAAGAGUAAUUGAUAACUAAAAUAACUAUGGCAAGAGAGCAAACCCAAAGGGAACCUAAACUAGUUGGCAAUCAAACAAAAGAUAAAGGAUUGUUGAAUCUAAUUAUGCUACCGUGGAUGAAUACUUAACAGAAUUCGGUUUCUCUCUCGAGAUAACCGAAUUCCUAAAUCUAAUAACCUAAAGUUGGAAUCUCUUCCUAACGAUUGAUUCUUAAAUUAGCAUUAAGCUUUAAUCCGCCUCUAUUAAGCUUUGUUAAUUCUUAAUCCGGCUAGUUAAUUAUCCUUAUCUCUAAGCGAUUAUUAACCAGUUCUUGCUAUUCAAAAUUCCAAAUGCCAAAUGGAUUUCUCAAUCACACAAAGUAACCUAAGCACACAAUUCACAACAUCUCAUGAAUAAUGAUUAUCUUAUUAAUACUGAAAGCAAGAAGAAUACAAAACUAACCCAAACAAUCCAACAAUAUAAUAUUAAGCCAACAUAGUAAAGAAAUCCCAAUGGAUUUAAUCAAUCUAGCUAAUCAUGUUCAUUAUCAAAAUACACAAGAAUUCAAUUACAACAAUAAGCAAAGGUAGAGAAAACCCGAUUACACCCUUGGAUGAGAGUAAAUAGCCCCAAAUCCUUUUGCUCCAGUUGAAUAUAUUCUUGUUCCUCUUGCUCGAUUUGAAAAUCAAUCAACGAACCUCACCCAAUCUUCGAUCUUUGAAGGGAAUCCGAUUGAAACCUUGAUCCAAGUCUCCUUUUCCCUUGGUUUCAGCUCAGAAAACCCUUAGGGAGAGGAAAGUUAGGGUUUGGGACGUUCUCCCCCCGCUCUCCUUUCUUUCUUUCCUCUCUUCUUUCUUUUAAUUAAUUCCCCCUGUCGCCGCCAACACGGCCGUGUUGGUGGCCGUGUUCCUAACACGGUGUGGUGUUUCUAGCCGUGUUACUAUCUGUGGUCGUGCUCCCUAAGAACUUAUUUUUCUUUUAUGUUUGAUGACACCCAACACGGCCAUGUUUGUGCCCGUGUUAGGAACACGGCCAGUGUUGAAACCAACACAGCCAUGUUCAGCUUCCCCAUGCUCGUACUUAGCUUGUUUCGGCAGCUUCGGCGUCCAAUUAUGCUCAAAUUCUUCCCUUUAUCAUCCUUUGACUUCUUUUGGACCUAAUGCACACAAACAGACGCAUAGGAUGAGUGUUGGGACCAAUUCACAUCCAAAUGUCCAUAAAAUCAAUCUUAAAAACCCCAUUUAGAUGUGUGUAUUUUACGCGUAUCAAAUAACCCCACACUUAGCUCAUUGCUUGUCCUCAAGCAAUCAAAAGUAAAAUAAGGAAAAUAAACCAUUAAAGAACAACACUUAAACUAAUAGACAAGCUAGAGAGCUCCUGCACAUAUCCUUAACAAGCGUAAGUCAAACAAAAAGAAACGAAGCAAUCAAUUCAAGUAUCACAACCAAGAUGCCAAUAAUUCACAAAAUAUUGUCUCAACAAAAUUAUUCAGAACCAACUCCUCACCAGAUUCUCUCUAAAUCACUCAAAGUGUUUAAUCGCUUAAUGCAUCAACUACUGCCUUACUUACUAUAUGCUUGCUUUUAAAUCCUACUCCUACCACUUAUGGAGAGUCAACAACCAUGUCAAGAGGUCUUUAUAAGGGUUGUAAUGCAGAUUAGGUAGGGGUAGGUAAAUUUGAUAAGAUGUUGAACCUAUGGUGUUCUGCAAUGAAAUACAUGACAUGCACACAAGUCACAAUAAUCACAAAGGGGUAAACAAUGGAUAGUAGUCCAAGGUGGGAAAUAGGAAUCAAGUCAAAAUGUUUAGCUCACUUACUUUCUUUCUUUUCAUCACCUUUCCCUUUUUAUUCUUCUAUUUCUUUUUUUUUUCUUUUUUUCUUUCUUUUUCUUCUUUCUUUUUUUCAUAAGGGAAGAACAUUCACAUAAUAGAGUGAAUUUCUUUUUGGAUUGAAGUAAGCUGCUACAAGAUUCCAACGCUAUUCCCAAGAUAAAAAUUCCCAAUAAAAAUAACUCAUAUGCAAAAUCAUAACCCAAAGCGGAAUAAAACUAAGCGGUAAUGGAAUAUGAUAAAAAAAUAUGGUAAAAGAAGGGGUUAUCUACAGAAUCAAUAAACGAAUGAAGGCUAUUUGGCUAGAAUGAAAAACCUAAGUGCCUCUAUCAUACCAAAGUGUUAAACUCUCCUUGUGGCCCUCAUAAGCAUUACCGAGCAAGUUCUAAAAGUAAAGACAGUAAUUGACACUCUCAACAAAAAAUAAAUACAAGCAUAUAAAGUGUAUGCUUACAAUUUAGGCUCAAUUUCUCACAAGUGUGCUUUUGAGUAGGUUCCAAACAAAAAUCAUCAAAACAGAAUUAAAUAAACCAAAGCAACUUAGUACAAAACUCAAACUAAUUAUCUUACAUUCUUCCGCAAAACUCAACACUAUCGGUUUUACCUGAUCACAUGGAUAUAAACAGGAUUUCAAAAGCAAGUCAAUAGUAAAAGCAUCGAAACAAAGUGAGAAAUUUUCAAAAUUUUACAAAAAAUUGCACAAAGAAUAAACAAAUAACUGAGAUAGGAUAAAUAUCACCCACCCCACACUUGAAGGACAUACUAUCCCUAGUGUACAAAAUAUAUAAGAAAUGAAAAAGGAAAAAGAACUAAUACUGCCCUGACUAUAGCUCCGGAGUGAAAAGAGGUGCAUCAGCAGGUAUAUCAGGGCGUUGGCUAGUCUAUGGUAGAGGAGUGGCUGCAAAUAAUAAAAUAAAGACUUAAAAUCGAACUGAAAUAAAAAUCAAAGAAAAUAUGAAAACUAAAACUAAUAAAAUGCUUCAAAAUAAAAGGUUAAAAUAUUAGAGAUUAAAGAUAAAGUUUGGGGUGCCUCCUAAAAGCGCUUCUUUUUGAUGUGAUGAGUCUUCUUAGCUAGACUCAUGGUGAAAUGUCUUCAAGUAUCCGCUUAGAGGGAUAAUCGUUAAUUUCCUCUUCCCGACUAUCAAGCAAGCUGCCAGUAUGAUGGGCAAAACUCACUCCUCGUAUAAUUGCACGUACUCAUGAUGCUCUAGAUGCUCUUCCAAUUUGAAAGCUGAAGUUUCACCAAUUGGAAGGAUCGAUGGUUGGGCAAUUUCUUCAGGAACGUCGAUGGUUUUCUCUAGUCCUUGGCUUGGUUCACUUGCUAGAAGAAACUCGAGCUCUUCCAAGACUUCUUCAUUGGAUAACUCGUGCUCAUCUUCCAUCAUCGAAGGGACUUAUGGAAAAUCCACCAAAAAUUUCUCUAACUGCAACUCAGCAUCAUCAACUAUACGUUUUUGUUGAUAGUCUUUCAGAGGAAUCAUGUUCGCCUUUUCCUUUUUUGGUUCUAUCUCCAUGUUCAAAGAGUCGUCCUGCACAGAAGCAUCAUCAUCAAACAUAAUAGAUAAAACAGAAAAAUUCUCACCUGAACGCAAAAUGACGGCGCUCAAAUGUUCCUCGGAUUUAGUAGCGUUUGAUGGAGUUCCCAAUUGCUCUUCAGCUAGUAACUUGAAGAUUAAGCCUACUUGAUGCUCUAUGUUCUUAAUCGAGGCUUGUUGAUCUUCAAGUAUCCUCUCUGUUUAUUGGAAUCUAUCUCAAGUCUUGCAAUAAACCUCAUCAUCAGCUCCUCUGACACUAACUCUUCACCUUGAGUUGAUGGUGCAAGAUUAGGCUCCUGAAAUUCUAGUAGUUCUUGGCCAUCUAAGCUCUAUCCAAAGGGUGAAUGAAUGCUCAACUCUUGAUUGUAAGUGCUUCCAUACGAGUCAUUUGGCCAACUUCCCGUAUAAUUCACCUGUUCAUAGUUAUAAGAACAAUGAGCAACAUCACUAUACAAUGGACAAUCAUUACUCAAAUGUAAACCACACAAAAUUCACAAAAAACUUGAGAUGAAAGGAUAGGAGUGGAGAGUUGAUCGGUAGCCCUGCAAAACGAUUCCACUCGAGCUUUUAAAGAUGCAUGGGUAUUCCAAUUUUUAGCACUCUCUUGGUUCCUGAUCCCAUUUUCCAACGUGUCAUACAAAGAGUUUAGCAUUGAACCUCCUUAUCAUCCACUACCCGAAUCAUAAAAUUAACUAAAUAAAUAUGUAUAAAUAAAAGAAAAUAAAUAAUAAUAAAAACAAUAAAAAAAUAGUAAAAAAAAUGGCUAAAUUAACAAAUAGCAAAUUUCAGUAUAGUUUUCAAAUAUUCCCCGACAACGGCGCCAAAAACUUUAUGAGCGCUACUCGUGUUAGCUACAAUCUAAGGCAGUGUACUUAUCGAUGCAGUCUAGCACUAAUGGCGAGUAUCAAGGUCGUAUUCCUCGGGAAAGUGAAAGCCCAGAGUUACUCCUUUGUUCUUUAUUAUAUCAACCUAAAAAGAGUGAUGAAUACUUUCUAAACUAACUAAUAGCUACAAUCUAAGUUCUAAGGGAGAUGCAAGAGUAAUUGAUAACUAAAAUAACUAAGGCAAGAGAGCAAACCCAAAGGGAACCUAAACUAGUUGGCAAUCAAACAAAAGAUAAAGGAUUGUUGAAUCUAAUUAUGCUACCCGUGGACGAAUGCUUGACCGAAUUCGGUUUCUCUCUCGAAAUAACCNNNNNNNNNNNNNNNNNNNNNNNNNNNNNNNNNNNNNNNNNNNNNNNNNNNNNNNNNNNNNNNNNNNNNNNNNNNNNNNNNNNNNNNNNNNNNNNNNNNNNNNNNNNNNNNNNNNNNNNNNNNNNNNNNNNNNNNNNNNNNNNNNNNNNNNNNNNNNNNNNNNNNNNNNNNNNNNNNNNNNNNNNNNNNNNNNNNNNNNNNNNNNNNNNNNNNNNNNNNNNNNNNNNNNNNNNNNNNNNNNNNNNNNNNNNNNNNNNNNNNNNNNNNNNNNNNNNNNNNNNNNNNNNNNNNNNNNNNNNNNNNNNNNNNNNNNNNNNNNNNNNUUGGAAUCUCUUCCUAACGAUUGAUUCUUAAAUUAGCAUUAAGCUUUAAUCCACCUCUAUUAAGCUUUGUUAAUUCUUAAUCCGGCUAGUUAAUUAUCCUUAUCUCUAAGCGAUUAUUAACCAGUUCUUGCUAUUCAAAAUUCCAAAUGCCAAAUGGAUUUCUCAAUCACACAAAGUAACCUAAGCACGCAAUUCACAACGUCUCAUGAAUAAUGAUUAUCUUAUUAAUACUGAAAGCAAGAAGAAUACAAAACUAACCCAAACAAUCCAACAAUAUAAUAUCAAGCCAACAUAGUAAAGAAAUCCCAAUGGAUUUAAUCAAUCUAGCUAAUCAUGUUCUAUCAAAAUACACAAGAAUUCAAUUACAACAAUAAGCAAAGGUAGAGAAAACCCGAUUACACCCUUGGAUGAGAGUAAACAGCCCUAAAUCCUUUUGCUCCAAUUAAAUCGAUUCUUGUUCCUUUUGCUUGAUUUGAAAAUCAAUCAACGAACCUUGCCUAAUCUUUGAUCUUUGAAGGGAAUCCGAUUGAAACCUUGAUCCAAGUCUCCUUUUCCCUUGGUUUCAGCUCAGAAAACCCUUAGGGAGAGGAAAGUUAGGGUUUGGGACGUUCUCCCCCCGCUCUCCUUUCUUCUUUCCUCUCUUCUUUCUUUUAAUUAAUUCCCCAUGUCGCUUGCCAACACGGCCGUGUUGGUGGCCGUGUUCCCAAUACGGUGUGGUGUUCCUAGCCGUGUUACUCUCUAUGGCCGUGCUCCCUACGAACUUAUUUUUCUUUUAUGUUUGAUGACACCCAACACGGCCGUGUUUGUGCCCGUGUUAGGAACACGACUAUGUUCAGCUUCCUCAUGCUCGUACUUAGCUUAUUUCGGCAGCUUCGGCAUCCAAUUAUGCUCAAAUUCUUCCCUUUAUCAUCCUUUAACUUCUUUUGGACCUUAUGCACACAAACAGAUGCAUAGAGUAAGUGUUGGGACCAAUUCAUAUCCAAAUGUCCAUAAAAUCAAUCUUAAAAACCCCAUUUGGAUGUGUGUAUUUUACGCACAUCAGAUGAGGUUCUCAUUAUAUACAUUCCUAAACUUUAUUCAUAGUCGAUGUUUGAUCAAAGAAUUAGAUAUUGAUCGUUGGAUAUUGAUCAAACGCUCGAGACUACUACAAUGUGUUAUCACUUACUUAUGAGGUAAGAAAUUUGUCUUAUAAGGUUGAGGUAUAAGGAUUCCGAGAUAAGCAUAUGGGUGCUUGUUACAAGAACAAGUUCAUUGAACACAACCCAACUGAGUAGUCCAUAUGGAAUUUACCCAAGUGUCUAUGGACAAUACUCUUGUGACAAUCAUAUAAUAUGUGAUCCUUAGACUUUAGAUAACAAUGUAUUAUCUUAUAUGAGGAUUACUAUACUUUAAUACUAUCUUAUGUUCUCCUAACCAUAGAACCUUAAAGGAUAACCAUUGGGUAUAGUAAGAGUCAUAUGAAGAUGAUAUUAAUAAAGAAAUCAUUACCUAAGAUAAUAUAUCAUAGGACCUUAUCUUGAUGAUUCUUGAUAUGCUUUAUCAUGGAAAUCCUUGGCCAAGAUUGUUUGAAUGAAGAUUAUGAAAAUUGUUUCAUAGAUCUUAUUCAAGAUGUUAUAUGCAAUUAUCAGGAACAAAUAUGAUUGGUUCAAUUAUAGAGUUGAAACUUGCAUCCAUGCUCUAUGAAUCAAUUGGGAUAAAGGUACAAUGAAAGAAUUGAUUUGCAUUGAAAGAUUUUUUACUGCAAAGGUUGAUUAAAGCACUUUAAUCAUUCCUACAUAUUUGGAUGGUCAUUGAUGCAUUGCUAGAUGCCAAUUUUCGUCUAUGAAUAUGGAUUAAAUUAAAUUAAAAAAUUAACAUUAAAUAAAAAGAGUUUAAUUCAUAAUCCAUAUUCAUUGCCAAUAUGUUAGGAACCUUUUGGGUCACACACAAAUAGGGUUAAGUGAGGAUUAAAAUGAGACUUUAACCAUUGGUAGGGUGAAUCUAAGUAAAGGUUGAGAAUAAUUGGACUUAAAAUUACUUUUCUAGUAUUAAUUUGGACCGAAUUGAUAGAAAAAAAUAAAAUUUGAGGUGUGAAACAUCAGUUUUUAUAAGUUUAUGGACUAAAUCAUUAAAUUUUUUGAAUCUUUCGCCCCUUGGAGCCCAUCAGCUCUCCAUAGAGCCAAUAAGCUAAGUAUAGAGCUAAAUCGGCUAUAAGCAAAGCCGAUUGGCUCUACAUAGUACCGAUUGGCCAUUUUCCAAUGUUUGACGCCGUUUUACAUGUAUUUUCGUUAAAACACCAAAAUUGGUAAAAAGAAGUUUCUAGAAGGUAUUUAUAAUAAUUAUUGGAACUUUAAAUAUCAUUAAUGAUAAUUAUUUCAAUAUAAAAGGUUUAAUUUCAUCUUAUUAGAUAUUAAUCUAAUAAAGAAAAGGGAUAAUUAUAAUUUAUUUUUCAAAAAAUUAAAUGUUUAUCUUCCUCUAUGGUUUGCUAAAACCCUACUGCUAUAAGUAGAUUGAUGCACCCUAGGUCUAUAGUUAGCUACAUUCUUCAAGGUAUUCUUAAGCUAUAUAGAUACAUCAAUACAUACGGAGAGUUAGCCACUAAGAAAGAACUCUAAAUUAGGAAACUCAAUUACAACGAUAAAAGUUUUUUUAAAUCUCAAAGCAUAACUGGAUUCUCAACCAAUAUUCGAUUCCACACCCUUUUCAUUUCCAAAGACUCGAAGAUUAACAUCCAACAGUGACAACCUGAGGGUCCCCCAACUUCAACAUCAUUAGCAUCCCCAUUUUUACAAACUGAUUCUUUUAUUUCAUAUAUUAGAAACAUGACUAGAUUUUUUUAUUUAUUGAUUGUUAUGUGUUUUAAAUGAUUAGAAUAAGCUUUCUAGUGAAUCAACAUGCUUAUAAACUGCUCGAAAUUGAAUUUGAUAAUGUGAACAUUCUGGGAAUUGAAUAUGAUAAUAAGAACAUGUAAGGUUUUGGAUCUAUUAAUAUAUCUAUUUUUGGCUUUUAGAUUUGAUUAGUCAAAUGAUAAGGAUUACAUGCUAGAUUAGUAAUUUCUUCAUUCUUUUAAUUAAAAUAGGUUUUAGGGUUCCAUGAUUUGCUUAGGAUUUUCACUUACUUCUAUGUUUUUUUGUGCUUUCUAUUUAGUUUAAUGCAUUUUUAAUUGAUCUUUCAUUUCCUGUGCAUGUGGAAUUGGCUAUGGAGCGAUCAAAUUAAGGAAAAACUGCCAAAGAGAGUCAACCAAAGCCUUAGAGCCGUUUAGCUCUAUACCCUGAUCCAAUCGACCGUACACCUUCUGAUAUCCUUGAUAUUACACAUGUUUGCAUGCUUGAUUUUGAGUUAUUUUUAUAGCAAAUUAUGUGUUUUUAUAUUAGAAUCACCUAUUUUAUUUUCUUUAUAUCUCAUGUGUUUUUAUAGGUACAUCAUCAAAGUUAGAUAGAAAUCGGACCAAAAUUGGGAAGAAACAGUCAAAUCGGGCAUGUUAGACUGUUCAACACACCCGUGCUGUGGAGCACAGUCAGGGUUAGAGGGGUGUUGAAAUGCCUCACCUAUGGCAAGAAGAAGCGAUUUGCAACACGGUUUUCGAGAGUGACACUGCCUAGGAGCAUGGCCGUGCUGAACAGCGCGACCCAAAUCCAAGACGUGCUGAAGAAGGCCAAAAUGUACACUUUUAGGUCAACACGGCAUGCAAAUCCAGGCCAUGUUGGAUCCCGAAACCUAAGUUAAAGAAAAGAAUAAAAGAAAGAGAGAGGACGCAGAGAAAAGGAUAGGGAGAGAACUUUGGGGUAUUCAAGACAGACAUUAAGAGCAACUAUCGAGAUGAUCAAGAAGAGGAAAACGGAGACGAAUUCUACUUUAACAUCGUUCAGAUAGCUGCUCUUGAGGAUUGGAUUGAAGAUUCAAAGGAAAGAAGAAAGAGAUUUUGAGCUGCAGAGAUUGGAUUCAGAGUUAUUCAAGAGGGGCUAGAAAUUCACCAUUAUAUUUUCUUAUUGUUAUAGUGGCUGGGUUAAACCAGUGUUACUUGACCAUUCUUUAAUCAGUUAAUUUGAAUUUGAUUAGUUGUUGUGUUUUGUGUAUGAAUUGAUUAAAUGAUGAUUUGAUUGAUGGUAUUUGGAC